CCUGAUCCAGCCAUGCCGCGUGCAGGAUGAAGGCCUUCGGGUUGUAAACUGCUUUUGUCAGGGACGAAAAGGACCGUGUUAAUACCAUGGUCUGCUGACGGUACCUGAAGAAUAAGCACCGGCUAACUACGUGCCAGCAGCCGCGGUAAUACGUAGGGUGCAAGCGUUAAUCGGAAUUACUGGGCGUAAAGCGUGCGCAGGCGGUUCUGUAAGACAGAUGUGAAAUCCCCGGGCUUAACCUGGGAAUUGCAUUUGUGACUGCAGGACUAGAGUUCAUCAGAGGGGGGUGGAAUUCCAAGUGUAGCAGUGAAAUGCGUAGAUAUUUGGAAGAACACCAAUGGCGAAGGCAGCCCCCUGGGAUGCGACUGACGCUCAUGCACGAAAGCGUGGGGAGCAAACAGGAUUAGAUACCCUGGUAGUCCACGCCCUAAACGAUGUCUACUGGUUGUUGGGGUUUAUUAACCUUGGUAACGAAGCUAACGCGUGAAGUAGACCGCCUGGGGAGUACGGUCGCAAGAUUAAAACUCAAAGGAAUUGACGGGGACCCGCACAAGCGGUGGAUGAUGUGGAUUAAUUCGAUGCAACGCGAAAAACCUUACCUAGCCUUGACAUGCCAGGAAUCCUGAAGAGAUUCGGGAGUGCCCGCAAGGGAAUCUGGACACAGGUGCUGCAUGGCUGUCGUCAGCUCGUGUC
rnacentral:rRNA from 1 species